ACAUGAAUACUUAAUAAAAACCUAAAUUUACGCGUCAAAGCGCAAAGGGUCAAUCAAAUUAUUAUCAGCUUCGGUAUUUCUCUUUGCUAUUGGGAUCUAUACACCAUCUUGAAAAAACGAAACAACGUUUCAGCAAUAAUUCUAAUUCUGAAGAUCCAGAAAGAAAUAUAACGAACGAAAGUGGAAGAAGCAGAAGACGGAAAAACGUAGCGGUGGCUUUCAUUCAAAUAAGAUGCCGAGGUUGCGAGAGAAGAAGAACUAAAAAAGGAGGAAGGAGAAGAAAAGGAAGUAGAAGAACCAAUACAGCAGCAGUACGUCGGUGAGGAAACGAGAAAAGAAGAAAAAAGGCGUUGGUCCGUUCGAGUGUUUUUCUAUUCAGAGAAGGGUUCGUAUAAAGUUCUAUAUACGCGACUUCUAUCCCGUUCUAUUCCAUGGAUGCUGAGAUCUUCAAGAGAAGUAGAGAUCGAGUAGAGGAAGGGACUUGGAAGGAGGGAACGGAGAAGCCUGUUCCCCAUUCCGGAGAACCGUUCAUUGAAACGAAUGGCCUUGUCUACCCCUUUCUUCUCAUCCUUCUGUAUCUCAUAUCUCUGUUCUUCCUUCUUUUUCUCUUUCACUCUUUCCGAACGCGAUCCCAAAUGCUCUCAUCCUCUUCGCAAGGGUUAUCUACGUCUUCAUCUUUCUCUUUCCUACACCUCCUUCUCCUUCUUCUUUCUCUUCUUCCUCUUCUACUUCUACUUGUUUCUCUUCGUUUUCCUCUUCUCCUUUAUUCAUUCUUGUCAUCCAGAAAUCCAUCAAGAUUACUUAUUCUUCGCCAAAAGGAAACUCAAAGCUCAACCUAAAGCAUUAUUUAAAUAAACACGGAGUUACUGCUGCGUGAAAAAGCAAACGAGAAAGGAGAGGUUGGAAAAAAGGAUGGAGGCGUGCGCAAUCCAGGGUUAUAUUAAUGGCUCCUUAUUUGAGCGAAGAAAAAAAGGAGUACCCACCUUCCUACGAUCUUAGAAAGAUGAGAUUUCCCACUUGUUAAGACAAGCCGCGUCUUCGAUAAUAGAUUAUUAUUUUAGUACAGUGUUUAAACCUGAGAGCGAAUAUAACACGGGACGAGAAAGAAGAGUAGGAAACUUGAAGAUAAAUAUGUUUGUAUGAUAAUAUUGCGAACCAUUAGACUUUUACUUAUACUUUUUGUGAUUGCCAUUACCUUCCGUAACGAUUAAUCUUUCAUCACGCUAGACCAGUUGUCAAAGUAAAUUUUCAUUUCAACAGUGCAAUGUGAGAACAAUGAUUACCCGACAACUUAUGUGUCAGUUUGCAGUAAUAAAUAAAUAAACUUCAGUCUGCUGUUGGCCAGAGAAACGUAGUAGAUCUCUUUACUGGACGAACUUUGUAGCUUGAGAAAGAUAAAGAUGUACAGAAAUACAGAGAGAGAGAGAGAGAGAAAGAGAUGAACAAACAGGAGCAGGAGAUGAAAGAGGGGAGCGUAUAACUCUAUGUUUCAUGUUGUUCUCGUUCGCGUGCCGGUCUAUUUUAACCAUCACGCAGCAUUCCAAAAAGACAGUGCUGUGGACAUGCGCUUGCUUUUAUGGAUAGCUAUUAACCGUUGGCAAAAUAGCAAAAAAGGACACUGACAUUAUAGUCGUAGAUUCUGCUGGAGGGCCGAUUCGAGUAGAAAGAAGAAGAAGGUAGAGAGGAGGAGAAGAAAAAG